rnacentral:lncRNA from 1 species
UCAAAUUCAUUCAUCAUGAGCUUCAUGGAGUUUCAUCAGCCCGACAGCACAGCAAAAGAUCGUCUGCAAAGCAUAUAUGUGUGAUUUGUAGUUUGGAGCAUUUGGGGUGGAAGUUAAAGUCUGGAUUUCUAUGUAGCUUUUUUAAGGAUCUGGUUAGGUAUUCCAUGGCUAGCACAAAUAAAUAGGGGGACAUUGGAUCUCUCUGCCUUAGCCCUUUUCUUGCGUCAAAACUCUUGGUGAGUCCUCCAUUUAUCGAAAGGGAGUAACUGACGGGGGAGACACAUUUUAUUA